UUAAUUCUGAUUUGCCUUGAUUUUUUUUUGGCAUUUUUAUGGCACCAUAAAAACCAUAAAUGAUUUGUAUUCAUUUUGGCAACCCUAGUUCCAGGUUGAUUGUGAUGGCUGGUUGUGAUGGCUAUUUUGAAAGUUGGCUUUCCUCUGUCCCAGAUAUUUUCUCUAAAACCUUUAUAAUUUUGUCUUAUGGCUAGCUACAUAGAAUUUUAAAAUAUUACAAAUGGCCAGACAGUCCUACUUCACCAUAAGAUUUUGU
rnacentral:lncRNA from 1 species